UCAAGGACCUCUCUGCCCUGCCAAAACCACAUAAAAGAAGCCUCAGAAUGAGCUUCUGGGCCUGCCUGUCUUAUCUUAGGCAGGCCCCCUCUGUUACUCUCUGCAGAGUACAUUAAAACUUUGCUUUCUUGACUUUGGUCUCUUGUCUCACUAUGUUUAACUUACCUGUGACACUGAGCCAAGUCCUUUCCUUCCUAACAUCUCCAGAAAGAAGGUAGCCCUGAUGACAUCUCAGUUUUAGCUCAUUCUGGAUUUCUGACCUCUAGAACCAUAAAAGAAUAAAUCUGUGUUGUUUUAAGCCACUAAGCUUCUGACACUGCAACAUCAGCAAUGGUCUCUAGCGUACUGCCAUACUCCUUAUCACACAAUAAGAAAAGAAAUACUCUGCAGGCAUGGUAGAUCACACAUUCUGUAUAUAUGUAUGUUAUAUAUCGUAUGUGUUACAUAUAUAUAACCUACACUAAAAUAUAUAUACAAUACAUGCUAACAUACAUGAAAAUAUAUUUGACAUAUUGGUGAUAGCUAGCAUUUUCACCAUUUAUACUGUGACUGAAGUAGAUCACAGAGUUUUGGAUGUGAUACAUUUAAUAAUUGAUGUAUUAAAGUUUGAUGAUAUGAGUAUUUAUUACAAACAAGAGUCAGUCCCGACCAUGUUGCCUCUCUUCCAUUCCUUGUGGAGACCAACUCAUAGCCCUUAGAAACUGGCUGCAAGUUGGAGAGCACUAAAAUGACAGUGGCUUAAUGAAGAUGGGGGCUCUUUUUUCAAGCUUAUAAAGUUACUAUCUGAACUAGGCAACCCAGGGAUUGUUCGGAGGCUCCAGGUGCUUCCAGUGUUCCAGGGUCCUCGCAUUUGUGCUCUGCCCUCCUGAGUUCUAGUCUCAAGGCUAUGAGUGUGGCCACUGCGGUGCCUCCACAUCACCUGCCACCCCCCUGCAAGGGCUGGGACAUGCAGGUUCUUCUCAAGGCUGAGCACCGCACAGCUGUGCUGUUAGAGGGCUGGACAGGAGGGGACAGGAGAGGACCCCGUGGGCCAGUGCUUUCCGGCAGACCGCUCUUCCCAGAGAGCCCAGGGUAUUCCUGACGCUCUGCCCUGACCUGCUGUCACACCCCUGGGCUGAGUGAGGUUGAUGUGUUCUAUCCAGGGUGUAGAAAAAUUCAUGUUGUUUGUUAGUUUUGAAUACCUUUCGCUGAGGAAGCACAGGGCUCUUUAGGGUUGCUCCAAGGGUUCCACAGACAAUAGAUAAUUUUCUACUAAAAGCAAAGAUUUAACCUUCUUGUGGAACAUCACCACCACUUUGGUGAGGUUUAUACCAGACAUUCUUGAACAUCUCAAUUCCAGGAGCUCUUUGGAUCUCUGUGGGCCAGCAGACUAACUUAACACCUCCUUCUAUGGAGUACUUAGGCUUAAAGAACUUGAUGAGCAUUUGCGUUCUAACAACUUUGUAGUGAUUUAAAAAACACACAGAAACUGGAAGUAGUAGUGUUUUUAUUUCAUUCUUAGAUAACCACAGAACCUAACCUCCUGGACAUAGCACAGCUGCUCAAAUUUGGAAUCAGAUUUUUGACACCAUCAUCUUUAUUUCCUGUUUGACAUUAAAUUUCCUGCGACAUUUGAUUUUUAUCAGGCAAACAUCUAAAAAGCCACCACCAUAAAGAAAUGACAUCAUCUGAGGGGACAUAACACAGUCUACAGUUGAAAUAGUGAACUGUCUCAAGCCACUGGCCCAUGGGGUGUAGGGCAGAGUCCAGGCCAUCACUGGGUUUUUGUUGAAAUUUUAAAUAGGCCACAGCAGUCCUGUGAGCAAGCUGUGGGGCACCAAGGCUUCCUGCAGGGCUUGGGAGCCACGAGCUUGCAUGGAGAGGAGCUUUGUGACCCUGAGAUGCCACCGCAGCUGCCAGCUUGGGUGGAGGAAGCCAGGCUAACAGGAUGCGGCCAUUAGCGCUCUCCCGGGGAACUUUUUUAUUAACAAGAAUCUUGCAGGGGUUGGCUGUGCUCCUCACCCUCUCUGGAAAGCCGCCCGAGUCCUUGAGUCAGGCGCUGCUGCUGAGAGGACAGAGCAGAGGGCAGUGCCCGCAGCCCCGGGAGCUCCCUGGUGAGCCGGCUGUGCCUCCCGGGGCAGGAGUGCAUCCUCCUCGGACCAGGCCACCAGCCCAGUUGAAAACUGGGAGCAAAGAAAGGCAAGAUGGCCAGUGGGAACAUCAGAGAAACCUGCAGUAAAUGUUAUGCUGAAACAGGCUGGUCCCACAUUAUUGCAGGUGGGCUGUCUACACUUAGGUGGACUUCAGAUGAACAAGGUCAGAGAGCAGAUUUGUAGUUUGGUAAGGAACAAUAAAUUAGAGAAGGAACCUUCUAGUACAAUAGAUCUGAUUGUGUGCCAGGCUGCUUUUUAGACAGAUUACACAGCUCUGGUGGUUUCCCCAAGGCACUUCCUAAACAAGCAUCAGAUUACAAAAUGGUGGGUGCUUGGCCGCUUGGCAAACCCAGAAUUAAAAUGAAGAUAGUUUUGUUUUGUUUUUUUCAAAGAAUGUUUCCAUUAAAGUUGGGUCCUGCUGCUUUGUUCCUAUUUCUGGUCUCUAGAUAACUGGAGUCGGGUUAGAAUCAGGCUCCCUUGGUGGCAUGCUGAUGUGUGACACCCUCCUGCAACCUGGCCUUACCGUGGACUUGACUGUCCACCUUUGCAUUGCCCAAUUUUAAUGAGAGUCUUGGUAAGUCAGCUUAGAGAGAAUUGGCCUCCCCUGAUGUCUGAUCGCAUUCCGUCCACCAGCUCCCUGACCUGCUCCUUGACUGUACAUGCCCCCAUCCGUAGUGCACUUGGAACUGAGCCUGGUUUUAUACUGACGUCUCUUCUCUCCUACUGCAAUAGUGCUGGACAAAAUCUGUUUUUAACACUUUGCUAUCCAGCUCUGGCUCUCACCGCACUGUGUACUCUCACUCCAAGUCUUGCCUUUUGCUGGAAUCCUUGACCCUUGCUACCCAGGCAUCCUGUCCUUCUCUAAUACCUGGAGGCUGGACAGCCAAAGUGUGUCACACAGGGUGAGUUUUAGCACAGCCAGUUGGACAAAGUCCAGGCCUGGAUUAGGGAACACAGUGUACAUUAUUACUGGUCACACUGGCCAGAACACAAUUGUAACAGGCCAGCACAUCAGAGGUGGGUGUGGAGCUAGGGAGACAAAGAGGCUUUGUCUGAGGGGCUGGCAGCUCGGCUGGCGGACUCCUGUUUACCAUUGGAAAUUGGGAACUGUGCAGCUAAAAGUCUUAAAGAUCAAAGUUAAAGUCUUGGAGGAGACAGAUUUGCUCAGAAAGUGAGGAUUGAAGGGCAAAUGAGGAACCAGUUAGAUUUGUUUCUGAGAUUUGAUCAGCCAAAUCAUUACGGUCUAUCUAUCUUUCAAUAAUUAAACGGCCUUAUAGCUAUUUAUAAAACUAUUUUUCAUUCUCCAUGGAAAAAAUACCAUUGUUGUCAUGACUCUGAAAAUCCCUGGCUUGUCUCUUGUCUUUUAAAUCAAUAAACAACUUUUAUGACA